rnacentral:rRNA from 1 species
GAUGAACGCUGGCGGCGUGCCUAAUACAUGCAAGUCGAGCGAACAGACGAGGAGCUUGCUCCUUCGACGUUAGCGGCGGACGGGUGAGUAACACGUAGGUAACCUACCUAUAAGACUGGGAUAACUUCGGGAAACCGGAGCUAAUAAUGGACAAUAUUUCGAACCGCAUGGUUCGAUAGAGAAAGAUGGCUUUGCUAUCACUUAUAGAUGGACCUGCGCCGGAUUAGCUAGUUGGUAAGGUAACGGCUUACCAAGGCAACGAUACGUAGCCGACCUGAGAGGGUGAUCGGCCACACUGGAACUGAGACACGGUCCAGACUCCUACGGGAGGCAGCAGUAGGGAAUCUUCCGCAAUGGGCGCAAGCCUGACGGAGCAACGCCGCGUGAGUGAUGAAGGUCUUCGGAUCGUAAAACUCUGUUAUUAGGGAAGAACAAACGUGUAAGUAACUGUGCACGUCUUGACGGUACCUAAUCAGAAAGCCACGGCUAACUACGUG